GUGACUGCGUACCUUUUGUAUAAUGGGUCAGCGACUUAUAUUCUGUAGCAAGGUUAACCGAAUAGGGGAGCCGAAGGGAAACCGAGUCUUAACUGGGCGUUAAGUUGCAGGGUAUAGACCCGAAACCCGGUGAUCUAGCCAUGGGCAGGUUGAAGGUUGGGUAACACUAACUGGAGGACCGAACCGACUAAUGUUGAAAAAUUAGCGGAUGACUUGUGGCUGGGGGUGAAAGGCCAAUCAAACCGGGAGAUAGCUGGUUCUCCCCGAAAGCUAUUUAGGUAGCGCCUCGUGAAUUCAUCUCCGGGGGUAGAGCACUGUUUCGGCAAGGGGGUCAUCCCGACUUACCAACCCGAUGCAAACUGCGAAUACCGGAGAAUGUUAUCACGGGAGACACACGGCGGGUGCUAACGUCCGUCGUGAAGAGGGAAACAACCCAGACCGCCAGCUAAGGUCCCAAAGUCAUGGUUAAGUGGGAAACGAUGUGGGAAGGCCCAGACAGCCAGGAUGUUGGCUUAGAAGCAGCCAUCAUUUAAAGAAAGCGUAAUAGCUCACUGGUCGAGUCGGCCUGCGCGGAAGAUGUAACGGGGCUAAACCAUGCACCGAAGCUGCGGCAGCGACGCUGAUGCGUUGUUGGGUAGGGGAGCGUUCUGUAAGCCUGUGAAGGUGUGCUGUGAGGCAUGCUGGAGGUAUCAGAAGUGCGAAUGCUGACAUAAGUAACGAUAAAGCGGGUGAAAAGCCCGCUCGCCGGAAGACCAAGGGUUCCUGUCCAACGUUAAUCGGGGCAGGGUGAGUCGACCCCUAAGG
rnacentral:rRNA from 1 species